rnacentral:pre_miRNA from 1 species
CGGAGGUCCCCGGUCGAUUCGGGGUCGGGGCCGCCAAUCGGCGAUCUCGACCCCAAAUCGACCGGGGAUUCUAA